UACAGAGGUCUCAAGCGUUGUUCGGAAUCACUGGGCGUAAAGGGUGCGUAGGCGGCGGGGAAAGUCAGAUGUGAAAUCCGGAGGCUCAACCUCCGAAUUGCAUCCGAUACUUCCUCGCUAGAGGGUUGUAGGGGAGCUUGGAACUCUCGGUGUAGCAGUGAAAUGCGUAGAUAUCGAGAAGAACGCUCGCAGCGAAAGCGAAGCUCUGGGCAACAUCUGACGCUGAUGCACGAAGGCUAGGGGAGCAAACGGG
rnacentral:rRNA from 1 species